AGUCUAUUCUCUCUGAAGCCUGUUGCUUGACAGCUUUAUCUGCAUGAAAAAACCUUGGUAUUAGCCACCCCUUAUGCUAACCCAGACAUUCUUGUCUAUUAAUUCUAUGUCUUAGACAAUAAUAUAACUCAACCAAUUGUCAAUAGAAAAUCCUUGAAAUAGCCUAUGACCUGAAAGUCCCUACUCCCAGUUGUCCUGCCUAUCCAGACCAAGUCAAUGUAAAACUUACAUAUAUUGAUUGAUGUCUAAUGUCUCUCUAAAUUGCAUUAAAACUAAGUUGUAGCCUGAGCACCAUGAUGAUAUGUUCUUAGGAUCUCCAGAGGGAUAUGUAACAGGCCAUUACUGGCUCAUAUUUGGCUCAGAAUAAAACUCUUCAAAUAUUUUAAAGUGUUUGACUCUUUUCAUCAAUAACAACUUGACACGUGAACAUCUGGUGCCUCAGACAAAACUCAGGACACCGUAAAACUUGCCUGAACGUGAAGCUAAGUAGCAACAGAGGCUCACUGAAUGUCUCUCCAAUUUUGAGCUUCUUCUUCAGUGGAACUGAGUUUGACUCAUUUCCUCACAAUAAUUUGACACUUGAACAUGUGGGAACUCACAGAAACCUCAGGAUCCCCAAAAUGUUGCCUGAACCUGAAGCUAAGUUACCAGAAGGGGCCCAUUGAAGGCUUUUCUAACUUUAAGCUCCUCUGAUGGAACUGAUCUCAGAGAAAGAAGCACCAAGUCCUCGGGGGCAAGAAGUGAAGGCUACACAUUGAAGAAGUGGUAUGUUAUGUGACUUGAGACUUGAAGAAAUACAAGAUUGACAAGUGGACAAAUAGAGCACACUAUGGAUAAAUAAAACUGCAUAUCCUCCAC
rnacentral:lncRNA from 1 species